UACAGAGGUCUCAAGCGUUGUUCGGAUUCAUUGGGCGUAAAGGGUGCGUAGGCGGCGCCGUAAGUCGGGUGUGAAAUUUCGGAGCUUAACUCCGAAACUGCAUUCGAUACUGCGGUGCUUGAGGACUGGAGAGGAGACUGGAAUUCAUGGUGUAGCGGUGAAAUGCGCAGAUAUCAGGAGGAACACCGGUGGCGAAGGCGGUUCUCUGGGCAUGAUCUGACGCUGAGGAGCGAAAGUGUGGGGAGCGAACAGG
rnacentral:rRNA from 1 species